AUUGAACGCUGGCGGCAGGCCUAACACAUGCAAGUCGAGCGAGCGGCGGACGGGUGCGUAAUGUAUGGGGACUGCCCGAUAGAGGGGGAUAAAUACUGGCAACGGUGGCUAAUACCGCAUACUAUCGGAUAACCCAUAUGGGAUUAGCUAGUAGGUGGGGUAAAGGCUCACCUAGGCGACGAGCUCUAGCCGGGCUGAGAGGAUGAUCAGCCACACUGGGGCUGAGAAACGGCCCAGACGCCUACGGAGGCAGCAGUGGGGAAUAUUGCACAAUGGGCGCAAGCCUGAGGCAGCCAUGCCGCGGGUAUGAAGAAGGCCUUAGGGUUGUAAAGUACUUUCAGCGGGGAGGCGUUACCCGCAGAAGAAGCACCGGCUAACUCCGUGCCAGCCGCCGCGGUAAUUC
rnacentral:rRNA from 1 species